AAUGAGCAGCUAGAAAAGUCAGAAGAAAACAAGGCAAAUGUGAAGUCCUGGAAGGCAAGCAAAGAAGGUAUUUAAGCAGGAAAGAGUGACCCUGCUAUAUAUAUAAAACCUAAAUAUAUGUCUUUACAGGUGCUUUAUGACAUUAUUUUAAAGGGAUCUCAAUUCAUGAUGAAUUCUUAAAAAAAAAAAAUUCUACCACCAUUUGUUACAAUCUGGCAGUGCUUACCAGUAGGGAUCAAAUUCUACAGGUUCACUUUCUCUAGACU
rnacentral:lncRNA from 1 species